GUUGAACGCUGGCGGAAUGCUUUACACAUGCAAGUCGAACGGUAGAGGGGGCAACCCCUCGAGAGUGGCGAACGGGUGAGUAAUAUAUCGGAACGUGCCCAGUCGUGGGGGAUAACGUAGCGAAAGUUACGCUAAUACCGCAUACGAUCUAAGGAUGAAAGCGGGGGAUCGCAAGACCUCGCGCGAUUGGAGCGGCCGAUAUCAGAUUAGGUAGUUGGUGGGGUAAAGGCUCACCAAGCCAACGAUCUGUAGCUGGUCUGAGAGGACGACCAGCCACACUGGAACUGAGACACGUUCCAGACUCCUACGGGAGGCAGCAGUGGGGAAUUUUGGACAAUGGACGCAAGUCUGAUCCAGCCAUUCCGCGUGCAGGAUGAAGGCCCUCGGGUUGUAAACUGCUUUUGUACGGAACGAAAAGGUCUCUCUUAAUACGGGGGACUCAUGACGGUACCGUAAGAAUAAGCACCGGCUAACUACGUGCCAGCCGCCGCGGUAA
rnacentral:rRNA from 1 species